rnacentral:rRNA from 1 species
UACGAAGGGGGCUAGCGUUGCUCGGAAUCACUGGGCGUAAAGGGUGCGUAGGCGGGUUUUUAAGUCAGGGGUGAAAUCCUGGAGCUCAACUCCAGAACUGCCUUUGAUACUGAAGAUCUUGAGUUCGGGAGAGGUGAGUGGAACUGCGAGUGUAGAGGUGAAAUUCCUAGAUAUUCGCAAGAACACCAGUGGCGAAGGCGGCUCACUGGCCCGAUACUGACGCUGAGGCACGAAAGCGUGGGGAGCAAACAGG